AAAAUAGAAUUCUCUUUGUACAUAUAAAAUGAAUCUUUUUAAUACUAACACAAGAAAAUUCACCUUUUAAAUGCAAAAAUUAAUCAUGCUAACAAUGAUAUUCUAUAUAUCAUCAUUAUUACUGUUCAUUUUAGCAUUGUUAUAUAUAUAUAUAACAGAUCGAGAUUAGCGGCAGAAAGAAGAAGCAGAGCGAUCAGAGAACAUCAGCAGGGGUUUUGGGUUUUUGCGUUCUGGUAUGACCAUGGUUCCUUCUGUAGCUCGCCUCUCUGAAAUUUUAAGCGCUGGAGGUCUAAUGAGCCGAUUAGAGGGUUUUAAUCUUUAUGAUCAGUACAACAACAGUUCCAUGGCGGAAGAUGAUUCCAGAACUAACAGUACUACUCUCAACGACGAACCAGCUCCCACGAUCUCCAAGGAAAAUAACAUCGCUGCUCAAGACGACGAGAGAGAAAGCAAUAACAAUAAUAAUAAUGAAGCUGGGUGGCUUCAAUUGGGUAUUGGGGGAGGUCACGUGACCCCCGGCCACGACCCGACGACGUCCCGGCGAGGCGGACCAGUCGAGCUUGACCUCUUCUCCAGCUCGCCGCCGCAGACGGCUACGGCUUCUUUCUCGUACCAUUUCCCGGAGUUUCGGGUUCCGCCGGGUGCCGGAGGGUUCGGCGCUGCGAGGUCGUUUUUGUGGCAACCGGGGAGUGGUGGGUCAGGGGACGGCGCUUAUUUUCCUCAUCAAGAGAUUAACUGGGCGUUUUGGCCUGUACCGGUGAGAAGUUUAGCUUCGGGGUUUUCGUCGUGUUCGUCUCCUUCGACUUCGUCGUCGUCGCCGUCGUCUUCUGCGGCUUUGAUGAUGAUGAUGCCGCCGCCGUCCGCGGGAGGAGGGGCUUACUUCGGGAGACCGUUCCAAGUGGCGGGCGCCGCAGCAGUAGAUGUGGGUGCGGGGCCGAGCUCCGACCUGAGAGUGAUCGAUGCUCCCCGUCGACCCCAUUCGGGAAUUUGGUGUAUGCUUCAAGCCUCGCAAAAUCAAGAUGGAAGGAUGACAGUUCGAUUGUUAGUGAAGUAUCUGGUUAACAAGCUGGAACUGGGUAGCGAAUCAGAGUUUUGGAACCCAACAAAAUAAGAUAGGUCAAUCCACCCUCCAAAUGAGAUGAGCACUGCAAGGAUUAAUGGUAGGGACUCUUUAUUUAUUUCUAUUUGUUAUAAAUUUGUAUUGGAUUUAAACAUCAUGCUUUGGAACAUGCCAUUUUGCUUUGGAAUUUUGAUAAGGGUCUAAAGUUGGAGAUUGGAACUACAUGGUUUUGAUGACUUACAUUAUUACUGUUUUGAAUGUUCGCAAACUUGCAUCUGUGGAAUCCAACAUGAUGAGUAUAUGAGAUAGGUCAAUCCCCCGCAAGAAUAGAUGGGCAGUGCAAGGAGUAAAGGUAGUAGUCACACCAACUAUAUCUCUGGACUGCAUUCCUCAUUGGUGGGAUGGCUAUGGAUCAAGCUUAAAUUAGGACAGCAACAGUUCAUCUUACAGCACAGAGGAUUUGGUUUAUUAUUGAUUAAGCCAUUCCUCAAUGAAGAAUCGACAAUCCACCUGCAAAGUUUUUUUGUUACUCCACUGCCGUCACUAUCAUGCACCUCCAUUAUUUCAACCAUUUCAAUCCAUGUUGGGUUGAUUUUGAUUCUUUUCUACUGGCAUUUUUCUUUAUAUGUGUUCUACCCUUAAGUGGAGUAAAAGGUUGAAUACAAUUCUUAUCGAUCCAUUGCUUAGGAAGAUAAUUUGGUUUUUGAUCAAGUAAACGAUUGAUGAUCUGUAAGCAUGUGAUGCAUAUACUUUCAAGAGUCCAAAGAACAAAAAUGUUGUAUUUUU